rnacentral:misc_RNA from 1 species
GAAGAUGAAGAACAAUGCCAUUGUCUGCAACAUUGGUCACUUUGACAACGAAAUCGACAUGCAUGGUCUUGAAACCUUCCCUGGUGUGAAGAGGAUCACAAUCAAGCCACAAACCGACAGAUGGGUCUUCCCAGACACCAACAGUGGCAUCAUUGUGUUGGCCGAGGGUCGUCUCAUGAACUUGGGAUGUGCCACUGGACACCCCAGUUUUGUGAUGUCUUGCUCUUUCACUAACCAAGUCAUUGCCCAACUCGAGUUGUGGAAUGAGAGGAGCAGUGGCAAAUACGAGAAGAAGGUGUACGUCUUGCCAAAGCACCUUGACGAGAAGGUUGCUGCCCUUCAUCUUGGAAAGCUCGGAGCCAAGCUUACCAAACUCACCAAGGAUCAAGCUGACUACAUUAGCGUACCUGUUGAGGGUCCUUACAAGCCUGCUCACUACAGGUACUGAGGGGAAGAGACGCUCACAGUGGAACAACGAUACGGCGGCAUGAUUGUUUUGUUUUUAAUACUUUUAUUUUGUUUAGGUAGUGUGUUUUUAUUUUUGUUGGGGGAUAUUUUGCUGGAAAGUUGACCUAAAUGUGUUUGAAUAAUAUUUGAAUUAUGGUUGGGGUGGUGUCAUAUGAUAUUGUACCAAGUUAGAUUCAUUUGCUUUCUUGUUUCUAUAAAAUUUGCUUCAAGGAAACAAAGCAUCAUGUUUUUCAUUUUCAC